rnacentral:rRNA from 1 species
CCUACGGGAGGCAGCAGUGAGGAAUAUUGGUCAAUGGACGCAAGUCUGAACCAGCCAUGCCGCGUGCAGGAAGACGGCUCUACGUGUUGUAAACUUCUUUUGUACGGGGACAAAUCCCGGUACGAGUCUCCGGAUGAAAGUAUCGUACGAAAAAGCAUCGGCUAACUCCGUGCCAGCAGCCGCGGUAAUACGGAGGAUUCGAGCGUUAUCCGGAUUUAUUGGGUUUAAAGGGUGCGUAGGCGGUCUGUUAAGUUAGGGGUGAAAUCCCGGGGCUCAACUCCCGCCCUGCCUCUGAUACUGGCGGGCUAGAGUUGAAGUGCAGUAGGCGGAAUGUGUGGUGUAGCGGUGAAAUGCAUAGAGAUCGUACAGAACACCGAUUGCGAAGGCAGCAUACC